AUAACAGAGUCCGUACAUCUUUCACGUUUGUUAAAUCUUAUACAAACUUCCAAUGUUGAUAUAAAUACAUGCAUGCUGCCGAUUCAGCUUUUAAACCCACAUGCCGAACGAUCGAUUGGGUUGCAGUAAGCGACGAGCUACUGAACGGUUGAUGGGCGACGAUGACACUCUUAUAUGCCAUGGAGACAAAAUCCGAAGCUGUGCACGCCAUGGAAGUGAUCCAACAAGUUAGGUGAAGCUUCAUUUGGUAUGAAGAUGGUGAAAGUGGCGAUGCAGUCGAUGCUCAAUUCAAUCUUUAUUCCAUUUAAUCAUUUUUCCCUGCUCUCUUUAUGUCUUGAGGCUGCUUUUCUUUUGGACAAUGCUUUUCCUUGCUUUUGUGAAAAAUAUAAUGCUUUGGAUAAUUAAUUUAUUUCUGGACGAGCUUUGGGCCAAUCGCGACCCUGACAAGCGAGUCCAGCAGGCUUGACCUGAGUCCUAGACGAGGUGGUUUAGGCACAUUAUCAAUAGUGGUUACUAGCGGUGACAUCUAUGGAUCUUGACCUGGGCCGGCGGCAGUCACAUCUACCGCUGCAGUAUCAGCGCUUGGUACGCUGGCGCAGUCAUUUCAUCUGUAGUUUUGCCCAGGCUUAUUUUAAUACGAUUACAAUUAAAUUACCUGAAUUCCAGACGAAUAAUUGCUCCUACCCCCAGGAAACCGGGGGAAACAAAGGAGGGGAAACAAAAGUUGGCCUAUAAAAGACUUUAUUAAGUUUGUUGACCGCUGAUGGGUAAGCAAAAGGCAUGAUCUCUUUAUACCAAAAAAGUCAUGUUUUGCACCAUAAGCAAUUUACCCUAAGAAACCUUUUGGCACAUUUAUUUUUUGGGUUUAGUGAAUUGUACAGUUGAUGGGUCAGCAAUCAACAUGUAAUACGCCGUACUUGCAAGUGCCAUGAUGUGGAUAAUUGAAGGACCAAAUUAGAAGAAAAGGAAGUUCAGUGGACAAAGUGAAACAAAAAGCUUUUAGAGGGGCCAAAUGGAGGAGACUGGAAAGUUGAAGAUGGCAAGUUGACGCCAUUUCUUAAAAGGCUUCUGCUUAGUUUGGAAACGGCAAGAAUGAAAUGGAAAGACCGUGCAUUUGGACAAUUUCUCGAUGAUUUCCUUGUGCAUUUGAGACAGUAAAUGAAUAGCAGCUCAUCUCAUUCCUUCUGUUACGGUCUACAGAAGUAGGGCGACAGAGAGAGAGAGAAUUAGACUACAAAAAAUUUCGAGGAUGUUUAUGGGUGUUGAUGUUGGUAUAUCAAAUUCAAAAAGCCUCGACAAUGAGGUCGAAUUGUACCCUUGGUAUUUUGCUAAUUUUGACUUUGGGGACUUCCUAAGACUACAAAAAUUACAUUGAAUUAUAUGUUGGAGCAUAGCGGCUUAGGUGGACUUUUUGGCUUGUAAAAUUGAUUUGGGGAUAUCAACGUUGAGCUAUUGUUUGAGAAUUUGGGCAUAAGUGUAUAUAUUGAAUUAGAUUUGAGACAAUAAGUUGAAAGGUUGAAAUUCUAGA